AUGAACAUUUUUUCUUUUUUCUUUUCUUUUCUUUUUUUUUUUUUUUUUUUGAGACAGAGUCUCAUUCUGUCGCCCAGGCUGGAGUACGGUGGCGCGAUUUCCGCUUACUGCAACCUCUGUCUCCUAGGUUCAAGUGAUUCUCCUGCCUCAGCCUCCCAAGUUCAGGCUAUUCUCCUGCCUCAGCCUCCUGAGUAGCUGGGAUUACAGGCAUGUGCCACCACGCCAGGCUAAUCUUUGCAUUUUUAGUAGAGAUGGAGUUUCACCAUGUCGAUCAGGCUGGCCUCACGAUCUGCCUCAUGAUCGGCCUCCCAAAGUGCUGGGAUUACGGGCGUGAGCCACCGUGCCUGGCCCCAAAGUGAUAUUUCAAUUCAUGUAUAAAUUGUGGCAUGAUCACAUCAAAGUAAUUAGCAUAUCCACCAUCUCAAAUAUUUAUUGUUUCUUUGUGGUGAGAACAUUAAAAACCCUCUCUUUUUAGCUCAUUUGAAAUAUACGAUACAUUAUUAUUAGCUAUAGUCACCUUGCCGUGCAGUAGAACACCAGGACUUACUCCUCCUAUCUAGCUGUAACUUCGCACCCAUUGACAAAUUCUCUCUCCUUUCUGGUUCACCCCCCACUACCCUGUCCCUAAGGCUCUGGUAACCACCAUUUUACUCUCUACUUCUAGAAGUCUGGCUUUUUUAGAUUCCACAUAUAAGUGGGUCAUACUGUAUUUGUCUCUCCAUGCCUGACUUAUUUCACUUAACAUAAUAUCCGCUAGGUUCAUCCUUGUUGUCACAAAUGAUAGAAUUCCCUAUUUUUUUAAAGGCUGAAUAGUACUCCAAUGUGGAUAUACAUCAAAUUUUAAAAACCCAUUCAUCUGUUGAUGAACAUUUGGAUUGUUUCUAUAUCUUGGCUAACAUGCAUACUGCUGCAAUGGACGUGGGAAUAUAGACAUUCUUUCAGCAUACUCAUUUCAUUCCCUUUGUGCACACGCCCCAUAGUGGGAUUGCUGGAUUUUAUGGUAAUUCUAUUUUUGGUUUUUUGAGGAACCUCUAUACUGUUUUCCAAAAUGGCUAUAGUAAUUUACAUUCCCACUAACAGUGUACAAGUUUCCUUUUACUGCACAUCCUCACCAACACUUGCUAUCUUUCAUCUUUUCAAUAAUAUACAAUCUAACAGGUGCGAGGUGACAUCUCAUUGUGGUUUUCAUUCGCAUUGCUCUGAUAAUUAGAGAUGUUAAACAUCUUUUCAUAUAGCUAUUGGCCAUUUGUAUGUCUUCUUUUGAGAAAUAGCUAUUCAAGUCCUUUGCCCAUUUUUAAUAGGGUUACUUGAUUUCUUGUUAUUGAAUAGUCUCAGGUCCUUGUAUAUUUUGGAUAUUAACUCCUUAUCUAAUGUAUAAUAAUGAGUUCUUACAGCUUAGUAUUUCUAAAAAUGACUUCUUGAAACAUGCAUUCACAGGAGGUUAAGAAGCACUAUUCUGGCUGGGCAUGGUGGCUCACGCCUGUAAUUCCAGCACUUCGGGAGGCCGAGGCAGGUGGAUCACAAGGUCAGGAGUUCAAGAACAGCCUGGCCAACAUGGUGAACCCUGUCUCUACUAAAAAUACAAAAAUUAGCCAGGCAUGAUGGCGAGCGACUGUAGUCCCAGCUACUCAGGAGGCUGUGGCAGAGAAUUGCUUGAACCUGGGAGGCAGAGGUUGCGGUGAGCCAAGAUCACGCCAUUGCACUCCAGCCUGGGUGACAGAGCGAAACUCUGUCGCAGAAGAAGAGGAAGAGGAAGAGGAAGAGGAAGAGGAAGAGGAAGAGGAAGAAGGAAGAAGAAGAAGAAGAAGAAGAAGAAGAAGAAGAAGAAGAAGAAGAAGAAGAAGAAGAAGAAGACGACGUCGACUAUUCCAAAAGAGAAAAAUGAAGUUUAGGUAGUCAAAUAAGUCAAACAGAUUUCUUUAUUGUGUAAUAUCUCAAAGUCUUUAAUAAGCUAAUGUAUAUUUUGAAGCAUUAAAAAGGGACUAUAAUUGCAUUAUUUCGCAAAUUUAUUUGACCAUAGUUUUUCCUUUUUUAAGGACACAAGUGUAAUAUCUUUGUUAAACAAGAUGUAUGCCUAUCUGUAACAGCAGCAAAUAAGGGGUUCUAUUAUGCUUAUUAUUUUGUAACAUAUUCUGUUCAGUCAGGUCAGAAACUUUGUUCUACUUAUUACCCUAUUCCCAAUGCCUAAAACAGUGCCUGAUUCACAGUAGCUUAAAACUAUUUUGUGAAACAAUGAAUGAUUUAAUUCUCAGCCUGGAAAGCAGGUAAGAUUAAAGACCUUUGGUCAGAAAUCAAAUGAAAUUCAGUUGUAGAUUUUGUAGAAACUCGGAGUAAUGGCUUCAUUAACAGAUUGCCAGUCUGUUAAGUAAUUCUCCAUGCUGUCCUAAUUGCAGCCUAAUGUGUAUCUUCACUGCAUUUCCAGCAAUAAAACUGCAGGGAUGGUUAUUUAAAGAAACCUAUAAUAUACAAGUGCUAAAUUAUAUUACUCUGAUGAAUAAUGUAUAAGUAAACUGCUUCUAGAAAUUUGCUCAAACUUUUAUUGUACUGUUUGAAAGUUUACCUUUGCACCUUAUAGAUCUGGGGAGGCAGUCAAUGUUAGAGUUAAUUAAGAUCACAGGCUUUGGGAGUUAGGUAGUGACACCCCAUUCUACUUAUUUCCUUCUAUUCUUCUGGAGGAAAUUUUAAUCCCACAACAUACUGUGACAUCAUGGCAGAAAAGGAACCAGAGAUCGUUGGCUGAAUUAAUAUAUGAACCACAGCCUCCACCACAGCAACUCCACUUCCAUGGUGUCCCACUCUUCUAUUUAUUUCAGGUUGGCAUUUUGACAGAAAAAAUAAAUCUCAUGAGUACAACCUUGGACUAAAAUUAGAGUACUAUAUUUCAUUUCCAGUGCUACCUCUGAUAAGCCCUAUUGCCAUGGGAAAAUUAUUUAACCUGAAGCGCAUUUAUUCCUUUGUUUAUAACAAUGACAAAAGUCUGAUACUCAGGGAAACAGAUAAAAUGAGAACAAAAUAGCAUAAUGUGAUAUUUUAAAAAUCUCAGCAUAUUAAGGAAGCAGCAGGGCAUGGUGGAAAGUGCAGUGGGCCAAAAGAAAAUUUGGAUUGUAGUUCUGAUAUGUCACUAGAAGGCUGGGUAGCUUUGGACACAUUACUUAACCUCUAUGGGUUGGAAUCUAGCUGCUAGGUUAUCUCCAGGAUACCUUCUGACUCUUAAAAAAGUCUAAGAAUUUAAUUAUUACUUUGGGCGUUACUGUUGCACAUGUCCAAAACUUUUUUGUAAAUUGCUUCUUCUACUAUCUCAUGCUGAAGUCUUUGCGGGGGCCAAUAACUACCAUCCCUUUCAAAUUCUGAAUCGAAUGAUAAAGUAUGAAAUAAAAUGUAGCCUGGAUG
rnacentral:lncRNA from 1 species